UCCAAGUGAUGACUGAAUGAAGUCUCGUUCGUCUGAAAAUCUUUGAAGAAUACUCCUUUUAGCAUGGUGGAGUUCUGAUGGAA
rfam:Xenopus laevis strain J chromosome 4L, whole genome shotgun sequence.